rnacentral:rRNA from 1 species
UACGUAGGGGGCAAGCGUUGUCCGGAUUUAUUGGGCGUAAAGGGCGCGUAGGCGGCGGGUCAAGUCGAGUGUGAAAGCCCCGGGCUCAACCUGGGAAUUGCGCUCGAGACUGGUCUGCUUGAGUUCGGGAGAGGAGAGUGGAAUUCCCAGUGUAGAGGUGAAAUUCGUAGAUAUUGGGAAGAACACCGGUGGCGAAGGCGGCUCUCUGGACCGAGACUGACGCUGAGGCGCGAAAGCGUGGGGAGCAAACAGG